GUGUUAUCCUUCUGCAGGUUCCACACAGGGUGACCCAUGCUUUCUGAUGAGCUUGACUCCAAACCAGAGCUGCUGGUGCAGUUUGUGCAAAACGCGUCCAUCCCGUUGGUGCAGGGUCUGGAGGACUCGGAGUCCAAACACCCCUGCUUGCCCCUGCCCCUGCUGCCUCCAGCUGAGAGCUCGCUGUGCAGCCCACUGGAGCUCACAGAUGGAGGCCUGAGCCAUGAGCCUGAGACUCCUCCCUCCCUGUCAGAGUUCGGAGGUGUGUCCGAGCGAAGCCCCUUAGUGGUCCAAACACGGGCCUCGCCCAGCCCCCCACCCAUCCUCCAUGACCUACAACAGUCAGACAGCCCUUCCUACGUACUACUGAACCUUGCAAAAGGCAUCACAGCCUCCUCAGAGUCCCUGAUCUUCGCCGCAGAUGGCGCCGGCGAGGAUGACGAUGAGGGGGUCUCAUCAGGGGACUAUGGGAUCGAUGGCAGUGCUCCCUGGUAUCUGCGGGUGCAGGAGCUGGCACACGACAGCCUGAUUGCCGCCACGCGGGCACAGCUUGCCAGAGAUGCCAAGGCCAGCCAGGACGCCAGAGCUGCAAGUGUUAGUAACGGCGACCACACACACAGUUUGACAGCAGACGGGGACAAGCGAGAGCUGGCGUCUCGGACCAGCCGCCCCCUCUCCAAGCAGAUCCUCCGUUGCUCGUUUGAGGGUUGCUGCAGGACGUUCACCUGGCCGGCUCAUCUCAAAUACCACCUCAAAACACACAGGAAUGACCGGAUGUUCAGGUGCGGCGCAGAGGGCUGCGGGAAGAGUUUCUACGUGCUGCAGAGGCUGCAGGUUCACAUGAGAACUCACAACGGCGAGAAGCCCUUCAUCUGCAAGGAGAAGAACUGUGGCAAGAGGUUCACCACAGCUGGAAACCUGAAGAACCACAGACGCAUCCACACAGGAGAGAAGCCUUUUCUGUGCGAAGCAGAUGGCUGUGGGCGUUCCUUCGCGGAGUAUUCCAGUCUACGAAAACACAUGCUCGUACAUUCUGGUGAGAAGCCUCAUCACUGUGGGAUCUGUGGGAAGACUUUCUCUCAGUCCGGCAGCAGAAACGUCCACAUGAGGAAGAGACACGGAGAGGACGGGCUCGGCAGUGAAAGCAGAGAAACGGGCUGGUCUUUUGUGUUUAAAAAAAAAAAAAACAGAGCAAAGGAAGAUGCCGCUUUCCAACAGAGGGGUACUUUCUGAGUUACUGGAUGAAUUAUUGAAUCGACUAUCUUGGAAUAACUACAGUCCAGAAAAACAUCAGCAAAAAAACAUUUUCAUGCUUCAAAAGGUCUAAAUUUAGGGAAUAAUGAAGAGGUUUCAGCUUUGAACACUGACUUCUUAGACUUACUGUUGGUUGCUGGCUGUACAUUCUAUAAAGAUGGCGGGUUAAGUACAGUGUGUGUUGCUACUUUUGUAGGAAAGGCUAAGGUUGUUUGUCCGUUUGUGACUGACAGGAGAGGCUCUGACACAAAGCAGCCUGCUGGAGGCAGACGGCGAAAAUGGCGACGGUAUGGUCACCAUGACGACAACCGUUGAACCCAUGAAUCUUCACCAUGCCAUGCUGAGAUCCCCAGGCUCUGCAGACUCGGUGGUUGUUCUCUCUCAGCCACAUGAACUGGUGACCAUGACGACAGAAGACCAUGCAUAUGGAGAAGAUGUGGUGGCGCUGCUGUAGUCUGCCGUUAUGAAAAAUGUCACCCGCUGCCUUUUUCAGCAGCGCUGGACUAAACGUAGUCCUCUCAUUUGUAAAGGGAUGAGUUGUUGACUUUGACCCUUGUAGAUAUUUGUAAUUAGCAACUGAUGAUUGUUUUAUUGGCAAAGUUUGUACAAAUGACUUUUUUUUUCUCUAGUUUUUGAAAAAUACUCCCAAAGAAAUACUGAGACGGGUUAAAAGUUUAUGAAAAUAUAAUGAUCAUGUGUUAUGUGCAUUAACAUUGUAAACAGCAGUCUGAGGUUGAAAUGCAUUGAUGAUAUUCUCUAACGGAAAAUGAGUGCCACUUAUUUUGUAUAACGUCAAUGGCUGAUAUGAUCGACUGUCAAAUUUAAAUGUACCAGACGUGUGUGUAUACCCCAUUAUCCUUAUUAUAACUAGCAAACACUUGAUACUAGAACUAGCGGAGCACCGUCUGUCACAUUGCUGUAUGUAAACACUGGCCACAGCUCAACCAGUUUAACAAGCCAGGCCACCAUGUUAAAACAUUAAACAACAAAUAAUGUAUCCAGUAAUGCCCAAAGUGGUAGUAACUGAGUGUUAUUGGUAACAUCUUUCACUCUGUCAACCUCCAGUGCUUCACUUGUUCUCCGCGUAGGAAACAUAUUGCUCAUUUACAGCUCAAUACAUCCAUAUUUGAGGAGAAUUGCUUCAUGAGAAAUUAAGAAUUACUCGUGAGGUUAGUUCCCUCCUUAUGAAACACUGCAGAUGUCUGGGGCCGUUGAUAAGGAAGUGCACGACGUUACCCGUGUUUCUUAUUGAGCACCACCUAAAUCAGCAGUGGCUGUUCCUCCCUUCCUAGUGGAUCUUCAGGUUGUGGAAGUGGUCCAACGUGGCACCCAAUGCCCAGCUUGCCUCCACGUUGUUCACUUUCUUGGUCAACUAGGAGGGGGGAAAAAACCAAAUCACUCAAAUGCCUUUUAUAUUUAUUGAAAUAAAAAAAGUUAACAGU